rnacentral:misc_RNA from 1 species
GAUGAAGAACGUAGCGAAAUGCGAUAAGUAAUGUGAAUUGCAGAAUUCAGUGAAUCAUCGAAUCUUUGAACGCACAUUGCGCCCCCUGGUAUUCUGGGGGGCAUGCCUGUCCGAGCGUCAUUUCAACCCUCAAGCUCAGCUUGGUGUUGGGCCCCGCCGCCCCGGCGGGCCCUAAAGUCAGUGGCGGUGCCGUCCGGCUCCGAGCGUAGUAAUUCUUCUCGCUCUGGAGGCCCGGUCGUGUGCUCGCCAGCAACCCCCAAUUUUUUUCAGGUUGACCUCGGAUCAGGUAGGGAUACCCGCUGAACUUAAGCAUAUCAAUAAGCGGAGGA